GAUGAACGCUGGCGGCGUGCCUAACACAUGCAAGUCGAGCGAAGCGGGGACGGGGGAGUAACACGUGGGUAACCUCCUAUAAGACUGGGAUUACUUCGGGAAACCGGAGCUAAUCCGGAAUCUUAUAGAUGGAUCUGAGCUGCAUUAGCUAGUUGGGAAGGUAACGGCUUACCAAGGCAAUGAUGCAUAGCCGACCUGAGAGGGUGAUCGGCCACACUGGACAUGAGACACGGUCCAGACUCCUACGGGAGGCAGCAGUAGGGAAGAUGCCGCAAUGGGCGAAAGCCUGACGGAGCCACGCCGCGUGAGUGAUGAAGGUAUUCGGAUCGUAAAACUCUGUUAUUAGGGAAGCGGUACCUAAUCAGAAAGCCACGGCUAACUACGUGCCAGCCGCCGCGGUAAUAC
rnacentral:rRNA from 1 species